GCUGGUGCUUAGAACGAGGUGGUACCACCUGAUCCAAUUCCGAACUCAGAAGUGAAACGCCUCAGCGGGGACGAUAGUUGUCGGGCAACUGACCGCGAAAAUACCUCAGUGCCAGCU
rnacentral:rRNA from 1 species